AAUAGAUACCCGGGUAGUCCACGCCGUAAACGAUGAGUGCUAAGUGUUAGAGGGGUUUUCCGCCCCUUUAGUGCUGCAGCAAACGCAUUAAGCACUCCGCCUGGGGGAGUACGGCCGCAAGGCUGAAAACUCAAAGGAAUUGACGGGGGCCCGCACAAGCGGUGGAGCAUGUGGUUUAAUUCGAAGCAACGCGAAGAACCUUACCAGGUCUUGACAUCCUCUGACACUCCUAGAGAUAGGACGUUCCCCUUCCGGGGGACGAGAGUGACAGGUGGUGCAUGGUUGUCGUCAGCUCGUGUCGUGAGAUGUUGGGUUAAGUCCCGCAACGAGCGCAACCCUUGAUCUUAGUUGCCAGCAUUAAAUUGGGGCACUCUAAGGUGACUGCCGGUGACAAACCGGAGGAAGGUGGGGAUGACGUCAAAUCAUCAUGCCCCUUAUGACCUGGGCUACACACGUGCUACAAUGGAUGGUACAAAGGGCAGCAAAACCGCGAGGUCGAGCAAAUCCCAUAAAACCAUUCUCAGUUCGGAUUGUAGGCUGCAAC
rnacentral:rRNA from 1 species